CGUCUGUGGAACAUACAACAAAAGUUUGAUCAAUAUUUAUCAAACUACAGAGUAAAAAAGGUUAAAUAAUGGAAACUAACGCUGAAGAAAUUAAUUUUCGACCGAAAAGACAACAAUUUAAGCUUUGUUUUGCUCCGAAAUGUGCAAUCGGACGUUCUUAUGUGCAAGUAAAUCGACCAUUGCAUACAGUUGUGCCUGUAGCUGCUAAAUUUAAUACCAACAACGAUAAAAAACCGGAUAACUUGCCGGAAUUCAUCGAGAAAUUAACAGUAAAACUACCGAAAGAGAAAUAUAGAGAUCCACAAACAGAAAAUCAAGUUUAUGGUUGGUAUAACGUUGAAUUUAAGAAAAAAGACCCUCUCUUAUACCAUGGCAGAAAACUGGACUCAAUGCUACAUGAAAAUCUAAUGAACUUCGCAAAAUUCGCUCUACAUAGCUUAAAAUCCUACAUUUUACAUGUAAUUUUAAUUCUAAACUUUACCUGUUCU